AUGAGGGCGGUGCUGCUGGGCUGCGCGUGGGCACCUUGCUCCUUUCCCCUGCUGCUGUCCCUGCAUCCUAAUGGCAAAUUGGUGUGGGCAGGUGGAUCUGUAUUGAAGCCUUUGGCAUUGUCCUGCACGAUUAAUCGAUUAAUGGGGUGUACAGAAAUGGAGAGGGAUGCAGAAAGUAUGGAAACCCCCGUGCAUGUUGUGUUGUGUUGGGACCCAUUUCCCCAUAGGGCUGUGAUGUGUUUCCCUGCAGGGAGGUGGGGGAAGGUGGGAUGGCACAGCCUGGUUUUCCACAGUGUUUUCCUUCAUGCCCCCAUUUCUCAUGUCCCCAGCAGUGUGUGCAGUCAAGAGCUUUUGGGUCUUUGGGGGGAGGGUUUCCAUCCUGUAUUGCCCCAUAGGGCACAAAGUUCCACACGUGUCUUAGGGCUGGCUGCUCAGCCCCUAUGGUCUCCACUGCUGCACUCCAUAGGGAGCUGUGUGGUGUCAGUGCUGUUUAUGGGGCAAAAGAGGCUGUGGAUGCCCCAUCCCUGCAGGCAUUCAAGGCCAGGCUGGAUGUGGCUCUGGGCACAUAAUAACGAGUAUGCUGAUAAUAACAAUAAUAACAAGAAACAAAACAAGAUCAUCAGAGCCCAAACAAAACGAAAAGGGCUGGAAGACAAUUCUAAAACGGAAGGGAUAGAGAUUAACCCCCCCCUCCAAUCUCAGCCCCCCACUCGCCACAUUGGGGCCGCCCCAUUCACAUCGCAGCGGGUCCAGCUCCGCGUUUUCCCACCUCCCACCCCGGCCUGUCCCCACGUGGGGCUCGUACGGUGCAGACCAAUAGAAGAGCGGCUCUCUGCUGUAUGUCAAUGGGGCGGAGCGCGGUCGAUGGGGGCGGUUCGGACCCCCCACCCCCCCCCAGCUAUUGGGGGGGGGGGGUCCGAACCGCCCCGUGCUUCAUGGAGGGGCGGCACCCCCCGCGUCUAUAGACAGGCCAUGGGGGGGGUCGGGGGGGGCUGUUUGUGA
rnacentral:lncRNA from 1 species